AUGCUGAAAUUGUUAAAAACAGUCUGCACCUACAGCUCUUUUCCUUAUCAGUGGUCUGACAGAAUUAAACAGAGUGAUUUCCUGCUGGAUCUUUGCUCACAUGUGAAGGACUAUGAGACUCAAACAGGCAGGAGUCUCCUUCCAGCAUUACAGUCAGUUUUCCAGUCAGCACCUGAUGUCUGGAUCAUAGAUCUCUCACGGAGAAAGAGCUCCAUCCUCCUGGAAGUACUGAAACUCCAAACAGAGAAGAAACCAGUAGAGCUGAGAGGAUGUUCAGAGGAAGAGAGUGAAGUGAUGAGUUUACUUCAGUGUCUGCCCUACAUCUCACAGCUGAGUUGUUCUGAGCUGUGUUUGUUAACACUAGUUAAAGUGGUCCAGUACAGAGAGAAUCCAGAGUUGGUGACUUUACUGUUGGAGGUUCUUGGCUUCUCCCUCAGUCUGGAAGGACAUUUACCCAGUAAAACCUGCAGGUCUGUGGGGAGAGUUUUGCCUUUCUCUUCUGACAGACUCAACCUCACUCUAAAAUCAAAAGCCAUCUCUCUAAAAGGAACAAGGCUUCUUUUCAGACACAUCAAAAACUUACACACACUCAGGCUGAGUGGUUAUAUGGUGGUGAGAAUAGCGGAGGCAUUGAGGUCUAUGUGGGUUCAAACUCCUGUCACUGUUUAUGAACUCACACUUAACCUGAAUAUGGAACAGUGGUCAGAGAGGAAGCUGUCCAGGGUCCUGAGCAAUUUGGCCAUCAUUCUGAGACUCUGGACUGUCCAGUGUUUGAAUUUGACUGAAUACAAUAUGUUGUCUGUUUCUCUAUCUGUCCUACUGUGUCACCAGGGACCAGUGAUUCUCAGACUAUCUAAAGAAACUCUCCGGAAGCUGGUUGAAUUUGUCUGUGAAGCUCAGGAAGAGGAACUGACUCAGUGCUUCCUGCAGAAAGUGGGUGGAGAUCUGACUUCCUGUUCCUUGAGCUGGGAAGAGCUUCACUAUUUCCUGCAGCACAAGAUUCCACACAUCACUGUGGACCUCAGAAAGAGCAACAUUGGAUGUAAUGUCAGAAAAAUGUUGCCAUUUUUUAACAGGAUUCAAUUUAAACGGAUCAGCUCUACCUUCAUGCUGUCUGUAAUCAGAGAGAUCUAUGAGUCCGGCUCUGUUGGUUUUGUGUCCAGUCUGUUGAGUUCAGUUGAGAACUACAUUAACCUGCAGAGCAGAGAGCUGGACUCUGUUCACUGUGCGGCCCUGCGCUUCACACUGCAGCACUGCACUGCAGUUUCACUCAAUCUACAGUGGACCUCCAUACCAGAGGAAGAGCUGGAGAGCAUUCUGCCUCUCUUCACACAUGUGUCCCACCUCAGUGUUGACAGGCUGCUAUUACGGAAGAUGAUGCACUGCUGCAGUGUCUCUGACAUCCAGCAAGAGACAGCAGCAGUUCUGCUCUCCAUCCUGCAGCACAAGUUGGACUUCUCCUGCUGUUCUGCUCUGGAUCUGACAGCAAACACAGACUCAGAGCCUCUACAUCUGACCAUUGAGGACUGCUGUGUGAUGUCCAGAGUCAUUCAGAGUGCUCAUUCAGACACAAAGACACAACUGAUUCUGCAGGACUGUGAGAUUAAUACAGCUGGAAUUGAUCAGCUGUUCCCAGUGUUACAUUCUGUUAAACUAUGCUGUGCUAAAUCUCUACUGCUUCAGUUUCUGGCUCAUGUGAGGCCUGAGGAAGCUAAGUCUCUUUCUCAAGCGCUGGGUGAAGAGCUUAACCUCAGUCAGACUCAGCUGAAUCCGCAGGUCUGUAGAGGUCUGAAGCUGAUUCUGGAAUAUUCUGAAGGACUGACUGAACUGGAUCUGAGUCAGUGCUGUCUCACCGAUGACAGCCUGGGUCUGCUGCUCCCAAACCUCCACAAAGUGCAAAACAUUGAUUUUAGUGGCAAUAGCAUCACUGACUUUUUGGCUCCAAAAAUCUACAGUAUCGUCACUCGCAACAGUAACAUAAAGACAGUAAGGCUCUUCAACAACAAAAUUGAAUUCAAAGCGCUCUUUCGCACAGACCCCCGUUUUGAGAUCUGGUGAUGCCAAGAAACACUCUCUGGAAUCAACAAGCAGGUGAAAUAACCAAUGAAGAUAAGGUAACAGGUGUAAAAACCUUUGAGGAAUCUGCCCAACCAGAGUCCUAUGAAUCAAGCCACCAAGCCAUAAACCACAUUCAUGUUAUCAUCACUUUCAGUCAUAAUCAACAGUUGGUUUCUGUUGCAUUAACUAUGACAACUAUAACUAUUAACUAUCUCCUUUAUAAACUGUCUUUUCACUUCUCCUCCCUUUAUAUUAUUUGCAUCAUGCAUGUUAUAGUUCUGAAUUUUUUUAUUUUGCUUUUAUUUCUAUAUACAUUUUUAAUUUACCUUUUAAUUUAGUUUUUGUUUAUUCUUAUUCUAUAAUUCUUAUUUUUUUAUUUAUUUUUUUAUUUUCAUUUUAAUUGUAGUAGCCUGUUUUAACAGUUCCAAAGUAAAUCUACUUACUGGAUUUAUUUAAAAAUAGAUUUGUAAGAAGAUAAUCAGUUUUCUAGUUUCACUUUUAUUUUUUUAGUUUUAGUAUUUUAGCACUGCCAAAGAAUAGCUACUCACUGGAAUCCUUUAAAAACUAUUUUGUAAAAACUUAAUCAGCAUUACAUUUCCAAGAACAGUUUAAUGCUACUAUAAAAUAAGCAUAAUCUAUAUAAAUUGGGAGUCUUUUAUUUGUUUAAUUGCUUAAAAAAAUGCAUGUAAAGCUAUUGACAUAAAACCUUAUGAAUGCUGAAAAAAGGCUUUUGAAUGCUUAUAUUUCAAGUAAAAUACUGCAGCUUUGACAUCUUGCUGUUUUAAUAUCAGCAUCAUUCCAGUAGAGAGCAGCAAUGAUUUAUUAAUAACAAGAGCCCAGAAAAUUCACAAGCGAAGUUAGCAAGGGGGACAUACACAUGACACAACCAAAAUAAAGAGCAAGUGCAUUUAUACCA
ensembl:lncRNA